UACAGAGGGUGCAAGCGUUAAUCGGAAUUACUGGGCGUAAAGCGUGCGUAGACGGUUAUGUAAGUCAGGUGUGAAAGCCCCGGGCUCAACCUGGGAAUUGCAUUUGAGACUGCAUAGCUAGGGUGCGGAAGAGGGAAGCGGAAUUUCCGGUGUAGCGGUGAAAUGCGUAGAUAUCGGAAGGAACAUCAGUGGCGAAAGCGGCUUCCUGGACCAGUACCGACGUUCAGGCACGAAAGCGUGGGGAGCAAACAGG
rnacentral:rRNA from 1 species